GACGAACGCUGGCGGCGUGCUUAACACAUGCAAGUCGAGCGAUGAAACUCCUUCGGGAGUGGAUUAGCGGCGGACGGGUGAGUAACACGUGGGUAACCUGCCUCAUAGAGGGGAAUAGCCUUUCGAAAGGAAGAUUAAUACCGCAUAAGAUUGUAGCUUCGCAUGAAGCAGCAAUUAAAGGAGUAAUCCGCUAUGAGAUGGACCCGCGUCGCAUUAGCUAGUUGGUGAGGUAACGGCUCACCAAGGCGACGAUGCGUAGCCGACCUGAGAGGGUGAUCGGCCACAUUGGGACUGAGACACGGCCCAGACUCCUAUGGGAGGCAGCAGUGGGGAAUAUUGCACAAUGGGGGAAACCCUGAUGCAGCAACGCCGCGUGAGUGAUGACGGUCUUCGGAUUGUAAAGCUCUGUCUUCAGGGACGAUAAUGACGGUACCUGAGGAGGAAGCCACGGCUAACUACGUGCCAGCCGCCGCCGUAAUAC
rnacentral:rRNA from 1 species